CAUCUUCCCACAGUCUUUCAACAAAGAGCCUCCAAAAACGUUCUAGUCAUGAGUUCCAAACCAAAGCUGAGAAAGGAGUGAGUGAGGUCCUCUCUAGAUCAUUUAACAUUGUGGAGGAAGGUACAACAGAUAAGUACCUCCAGUCUGUAUCUACAUCCACCACAUCUACUGAUAUUAUACAAACCAUGGUGAAAGACCAGCAGGAGCUCACCCAGACCACCCAAUCAUCUGACAUGGUAUCUGGAACCUCCCUGCUCACCACUGGACAGGUUUCUGAGAAAAGAAUCUGGUCUGUUGCUCGUAAAAUCUACUACAGUCUGCAAAGUAAGAUUACGGAGUUUCUCAGAAAAGAUCUUCAAAGAUCAGACACAACACUUGGUUCAAUCCAAAUCUUUACAUAUCAAAGCAGUCCUGCAUCACAAAGAGCAAGUCUCGGCCAUCUUGAGGUCAACCAGAGCAGUGUUACACCUGGUGGAAACGAUGCCUGUGUGGACAUUCCGCACAAAUUACUACCUAAAACCACUGAGCUCUCAGGAUCCAUGCUGGAGGAUAUUGACACGAUCCGUUGUAGGAGUGCUGACGGCCAAAAUACAAGAAAUACCUCUUCUUCACGCUCUUCUAUCUCUCUAACACCUACUUCAAAAUUAAGGCAGUCGAAAUGGCACUUUGCUUUACCCGGGACUCCCAUCCCCACUGAGUUUCCUGCUCAGAUUGACUUUCCCAUUGUUAGAAACACAAUCAUUGAGGACUUCUUUCACACUGAGGACUUACUUCCUGUAACCUUUGUGGACAAAGUCAGGCAAGCUGCUGGGGUGGUAGUGGACAUUAUGGUGGAAAGUGUUGAGAACACACAGGAAGAUGGACAGGGUGCUUCUCAUCCUGACGACCUCCGAUCUGCUGUUAGGAAAUUGAGAAAAAUCAUUUCCACUUGGACCAUCCACAUUUUCAGUCAUGAAUUGGUGGAUAAAGUGAUAGCCCUUCAGGACAGCCACAGCACUCCACAGGUCUUAACAUUGGAAGCAGCCAAAAGUGCUUCAGACUCCAUUCUUUCAAGGCUGAAAUGGGGAAAUGAACAAUGUGCCAUAUCCAAGGAGCUCUCCUCUCAGCUUUUCCAGAUAUUUGCUGAAGAGACAGUGAAGUGCUUCCUGAGACAGUGGUCAGAUGAGUAUGAAAACAUAAACUUUGAUGUUUCAGUCCAGAACGAUCCAAAGACUUCUACUUGCAUGGUCAUUCUUCAAAUGAUCACCAAAGCCACUGCUAAAUGUUAUUUUGAGUCCGCUACCAGCGUGGCCACCAGUGACAUUGUAGAAGGCGUGUUUGAUUUGGAAAGGGAUACCAUCAGCAGUACUGGAGAGCAGGUCCUCACCUUCAAUACAAAGGUAUAGUACACAUACAUCUUUCAUGAAUAACACUGCUGUUGACCUUUUAUAUGAUUCUUUGUGUCAUGGCAUUGCACUGCUUCUUUGCAGUUGAUAUGCUGUACUUUUAAGAUAUCGAAAACAUUUCAGUUUGUUUUAAUGUGCCUUUUCCCACCAACCAGGGUUCCAAGAAUGUUAGUAAGAACCUCUGUCCUCAAGAGUCUCUGGAGUACCAGCCUCAGAACAUUUCCCCUACUGUGUACUUUACAGAGACGAUGACAACAUCUCAUGGCUCCUUUUCUCCAGAGGGAAUUUAUUAUAUCGCAUCGUCCUUCCCACUUGAAGAGAAGAGUCGCAAACCCUCCCUUUUCACCAGAUUGUCUAGAUCCAUCACGAAAGGCUUUCUCAGCCCAUUCAAAUCUUCAAGGAAAACCAAAUUAUUUAAAUAAAUUCCUCAUUAUAACAACGAGAGCAUUCAUUUGUUCAGAUGAGAAUCUAAUUGUAUUGGUCACAUACGCCGAAAACAACUGUGAGAUGCUUUAUUACGAGCCCAUUCCCAACAAUGCAGAGUUAAAAAGUAAGAAAAUGUUUUCUAAAUAGUAACACAAUAACAAUAACAAGGCUAUAUACAAGGAGUACCAGUACCGAGUCAAUGUGCAUGGGUGCGAGGUAGUUGAGGUAAUACAGUAUGUACAUGUAGGUAAGGGUAAAAGUGACUAGUCAAUCAGGAUAGAUAAUAAACACAGUAGCAGCAGCUAGUGUGAAAGUCGGUCAGUGUCACAGUGAAUGUGUGGGUAGAGUGUAGUGAAUGUGCAUCGAGCCAAUUCAAGAGAGUCAGUGGAAAACAAUUAGAAAAAUACAUCGAUAACCAAGGGGGUCAAUGCAAAUAGU